rnacentral:rRNA from 1 species
UACGAAGGGGGCUAGCGUUGUUCGGAUUUACUGGGCGUAAAGCGCACGUAGGCGGAUCUUUAAGUCAGAGGUGAAAUCCCAAGGCUCAACCUUGGAACUGCCUUUGAUACUGGGGAUCUUGAGUCCGGGAGAGGUGAGUGGAACUGCGAGUGUAGAGGUGAAAUUCGUAGAUAUUCGCAAGAACACCAGUGGCGAAGGCGGCUCACUGGCCCGGUACUGACGCUGGAGGUGACGAAGCGGUGGGGAGCAAACAGG